GUUCCAAUCCGGACUUUCGGUAAAUUUGAAAUGAUAAAAAGAAGAUUAACAUGAUCUAUACGCAAGGAUAACACACAAAUUGAGAAAUGAUUUAAAUUUUU
rnacentral:snRNA from 1 species